UUUUGGUCUUUUUAUUCGGGCUACCAGAGUGUAAAAGCCGGUCUGGUUUUCCUAUCAUAACACGAUAUUGUACAAAUAACGCGUGACUAACUCGACCUCCUUUAACCAAUCAAAAUCUUUCUUAGAUCGUUUUACGCGCGAGUGUCACUGUCAACGACACGUAGCUAUAAUUAAAGAUGAUUCACAUCAAAAUAUAUAGUCACAUGUGAGAUUGCUUUGUAGUCAAUUUCGUUGUGCCAUUCGGCAACAAUUAUAAUACGUAAAUAUAACCGAAAACUGUUCUCGAGUAGCCCGAGUGGACGCCUUGUAGGCGACGUCUUUAUGAAUUCAAAUUACCAUGGUCACAAUGCACCGCAUGAAAAAACGCGGGCUCAUCCUUUGCAUGGAGAUAAUUAAGAGUGACAGCCUUAGCUUACGUCAUCAAAAAUUUAAGAGAUGCGAUGAUCUGGAUGAAGUGAGGAAUGGCCAAAGAUGAAAUUAGCGAAAUAGAAAUAUAAUCGUGCUUGUUUAGCUGAUGUAUCAGAAUAUAUUAUGUAUCAGAAUAUAUUGGUUGAUGUAUCAGAAUAUAUUGGUUUUAAUAAAUGAUUAGUUAUGUUUAUAGAAGUCACGCAUGCUUACGUAUGAUAUGCUUUACAGAUGAGCGAAAUGGCCAAACUGGGAGAGCAAAACAUACACUUUAAUUCAUCGAGAAAACAAACUUUUCAUUAUUAAAAAUAUACACUUCAAGAUGAACCAGGUCAACUGCACGAGAGUGUAUAUCAAAUAAAAUGUACAUCAAAUUGAACACUCAGAGCAUAAGACGCCAGCGAAUAUGUUCUGGAACAUUUUCUAUUUGAUUGAAAACUUUUGGAGGGAUGAAGCUCACACCUUAAAAGUUUUCAAUUUGUCACUUUCUUAAAUAUUUUUGUCAUUGUAAAAGGAGGAAACGAGACUCCAAUUCAAAAGUUACAAUAAACAUUUGAAAUUGCUAUCGGA